rnacentral:lncRNA from 1 species
GGAGUUUGAAAUUGAUUUGAUUAAUAAACUACUAAAAGCAAUUAAAAUAAACGAAUAAUAAAAUAAAAGAGAAAUAAAUAAUAAGAAAGCUCUAGUUGAAGUAUUGGAUCCACUUUAGUCAUUGGGAUUGAUCACAGACACUUUGUUCUUUUGGGUUGAUUCAAUAGAUUAGUUAUGGGGAUGGAAGACGCUUCUCACCACCAUUAUCUCUCCUUAUGAUUAAACUAAUUAGGGAACGUCUUCUAAUUAAUUACUAAUUAACAAAUUGCCAAGGAACGUCCUUGGGCCUUAGGCAUUAAAACAAUUGUCAAUUGCAUUAAGAAAUAGAGAGAUCCAAUCCUAACUAUCCAAACGUAUGGAGAUAACGCUAGAUCAUGCAAUUUCCUUGGGUUUGAUCCCAAGUGUUCUCAUGUAAGAAUAAUCCAAGCAAUUACGGACUUAAAUUAUACCACCCAUCUGACGGCUUCUACAUCACCCAAUCAGACAUCAUCCUCCGCCAGAAUCGACCUUUCUGGCAGCUUCUCUUCUUCCGCUUCCCAGCUUGCCUACCAUCGGGCCGGUCCACGGAAACAAAUCUUUUUUGAUCCCAGUAGUACUCGGGCAGCCAUUGUUACCUGCGGAGGACUUUGCCCUGGGAUGAAUACGGUGAUCAGGGAGCUGGUGGUUGGGUUGUGGGAGCUAUAUGGGGUGCGUCAGAUAUAUGGGGUGGUUUCUGGGUACAGAGGUUUUUAUUCAAGAGAACCGAUUGAGCUGAAUCCGAAGCUUGUCCAUAACUGGCAUAAGAGAGGUGGAACAACUCUGCAGACGUCCAGGGGUGGCUUUGAUCUCAAUAAGAUUGUUGAUGCCAUUCAAAAUCGGGGAUUUAAUCAGGUUGGCUUCUACUUCUGGAGCUCUUUUUAAUUCAACAAGCUAUGUGAUUUAUGAUAAGAGCCUUUAAGAAAUUUAGAACAGAAGCAUUUGUCUGCUAUAACCUUUGCCUUCUUGUUAUAGUUGAUAACAGCGCUAUGAAAAACAAUGGCAAAAAAAAUUCUAAAUAUUUGGUGUAAUUUGUUUGGUCAAAGAUAAUAUUUUAAACUUUAUAUAUUAAUAUUUCAAUAAUGUCAAGUGAUAUGUGUCUAUCAUACGACAGAGAUGUUGCCAGAAGCAGACAAUAACGAUAGUAUUGGUCUUAAAAUCAAUGUUGAAUGGUUUGACAACUUGCAUUCUUGCAUUAAGGUGAUUGAAAUUAAGCAAACCUCUUAAGUCGACUUCUUUCGAAAUUUUUUAUUCAAAACAAGGGCAUAAUGGUUAAAUUUUGACCACUGAAAGCAGUUUUCUCGCCAUCCAUGAAUGUAAUUAAUUAAUUUGCCUUUAGAAAAGAAAAACCGGAAAGGCUGAAAGUGUAGUUUACUUAUUCAAUGGUUGCAAUUCUGCAAUAUACAUCAAUCUAAACUAUGCUCUUGAUGAGCAAUAAUUGAUAUAUACUUAGCAAGUCUAGUUUAUGACUUUGUAAUUAUGAAACUAUUCCAGUUGGGGUCUUUUCUUAUGGCUGUAUUAAUACAAAUGAACAGGUCUACAUCAUUGGCGGGGAUGGAACAAUGCGUGGGGCAGUAAAGAUAUUUGAUGAAAUUCGUCGCCGGAAACUGAACAUUGGAGUUGCUGGAAUUCCCAAAACUGUCGACAAUGAUGUAGGCAUUAUUGACAGAUCCUUUGGAUUCCAGACAGCUGUGGAGAUGGCUCAACAAGCAAUCAAUGCAGCUCAUGUUGAGGCCGAGAGUGCAGUAAAUGGGAUCGGCCUAGUGAAGCUAAUGGGUCGAAGCACAGGCCACAUAGCACUCCAUGCGACUCUGAGCAGCCGUGAUGUCGACUGCUGUUUAAUUCCUGAAACAGAAUUUUACUUGGAAGGAAAAGGAGGGCUGUUUGAAUAUCUCGAAAAGAGUCUCAAAGAAAACGGCCAUGCAGUGCUGGUCGUUGCCGAGGGGGCAGGACAGGAUAUAAUCCCAAGAACUGAAGCCCAGAAACAACAGAGGGAUGAAUCAGGUAAUCCAGGUUUCUUAGAUGUUGGUCUGUGGUUGAAAUCAGAGCUCAAGAACUGGUGGUCUGGAGACCACCCGAAUGAUUUAUUCACGAUGAAGUAUAUCGAUCCCACGUACAUGAUCCGUGCAAUCCCUGCAAAUGCCACAGACAGUCUGUAUUGUACACUUCUUGCACAUUCAGCUAUUCAUGGGGUUAUGGCAGGAUACACUGGAUUUGUAUAUAUAUAUGUGAUAUACUCUGAAAAGAACAGAGAAAAGCUUCAAUUUUUGUAGGUGAAGAUGCUGAACUGGGAGUCAUUCUAUGAAAAAUAAUAAUAGAAGAUGCUUAAAAGAAAAAGAAAGGUAUCUUUAAUUUAAAGGAAUGAACAUAUAUAAUCCAUAAAGUUGUUUGGCUGGGAGAAUUUGCUAAGGAUAUUGCUGUUUGACACUCGCAUUUAAAGAAAGAAAAUAAAAAGGAAAAGAGAAAAGGAUGGCUAAGCUCUAUUAGCUUUGACAAAGAUGGUGACUCAAGAGAGUCCAAAAACAAAGCGUCUACUUUUGCAAAACGGAGUCAUUUUAUGGUGGAACCGGGAUUCCAUAUAUGUUUAAUUAUAUGAGAUGGCAAUACAAGUGUAACAACUAAGCUAAAAAAACCCUUACAAUUUAAAAAAUAAAUCAAUUUAAAAACAUUAAUAUAACUAAUUUUAUGGAAUUGAUUAUUUAUUAUUUAAAAAAAAAUGAAUUAUAUAAUAUGAAUGGUAAGUGUAUUUGAAUAAAUUUAAAAAAUUUCAGAUUUUAAUCUUUUAAUAUUUAUUUUAAAAAAAUUAAAAAUGAUAAAUUUUAUUUUUUUUAAUUUAAAUUUAUUUUUAAAUUAUUAGUAAAAAAAUAAAUAGCUGUAAAGCUAAAUAAAUUGAAUAAAAGUAUUAUUUAGUUUUUUAAUAAUAAUUUAGUAGCAAGUUUAUAUUGGAAAUUGAAGUUCUAUUUUUUUAAUUUUAAUUUUCAUUUAAAAAAAGAUAGGUUAAAAAUGAUAAAUUUUAUUUUUUUAAUUUAAAUUAUACUUUUAAAUUAUUUGUAAAAAAAUAAACAGCUCUAAAGCUAAAUAAAUUGAAUAAAAGUAUUAUUUAGUUUUUUAAUAAUAAUUUAGUAGCAAGUUUAUAUUAAAAAUUAAAAUUUGGUAUUUUUUUUGCUGUAUAAUGUAAAGCUAAAUUUAGUCUUUUAAUUAGUAUUAUUUGUCAUUCAUUAUAAAUUUAUUAUUUUAUAUAAAUAAGUAUAAAUGAAAUUUUAAUUUUUGAAUUUAAUAUGAUUAACGAAUUGAAUUCUAUAUUUUUAAAAUUAAAUUUGUGUUUAUAAUAUUUUAUUUAAUUAAUUUUUAACACUUUUUAUUCUUCAAUUUCCAUUCAUUAAAAUACUUCACUACUUAUAAUUAGGGCUGUGCAAUGGGUCGGUUCGGUUUCGAACCGAACCGAACCGAUAAAACCGAAAACCGAUUUGUUAAAAUUUAUAAAAUCGAAAAAACCGAUUAUAAAUGUAUAACCAAACCGAAUCGAACCGAUAAAAAUCGGUUCGGUUCGAUUCGGUUCAAACCGAAAUCUGUAUUUUUUUUUUAAUUUUUUAUUUCUAAUUUCAACAAAAUAAUUUAAUAAAUAUUCUAUUAAAAACCACGGCCACCCAGAAGUCGUAACAGAGAUAUGAAUCAAAAUCCAGAUGAGAGAAAUUCGCAACCCAGAUGAGAGAAAUGAAGUAUAUGCGGAAAAUUGUAUAAAUUUGGAUAUAUAUUACCUCUUCUUCACCGUCUUCAUCCUCGUCAUCGUUUUCCUCCUCGUCGUCGUCGUCAUCGUCAGCGUCGUCUCCGCCUUCACCAUCGUCAUCCUCGUUGUCGUCGUCCUCGUCGUCAUCCGCCGACUGAACCGGUGGCCCUCUGGAGGAUUGUAAGACCUGAACCUCGUCGUCUUCGUCGUCCUCGCCCCCUCAUCAUCGUCUUCGUCGUCGUCAUCUUCGUCACCGUCGUCGUCCUCGUCGCCAUCUUCUUCUUCCUCUUCCUCUUUAGAUUCUACACCUUCCUCUGUUUCACAGUCGUCUCGCAGAAAGAGUAAAGAUUGCAAAUUUCAGAGGUUAAUAAGCAAGUUCAGCUUUUAGCUGUAAAACAGAGGAAGCCGAAGAGGAGUCAAAGAGGAAACGAAGAGUGUUUUGCCAGUCCUCAGCCGCUGUGCAGAUCGACAUGAAAGAGAAAGAGAUUAAUGAGAUUUGAUGAUUGAUUUGUUAAGGAUUCGGAUUCGACUAUGAGAGUGUGGAGAGCCCAGGGGAGGAAUCGAGAUUCGGGAGAAUAGGGGUGGGGGAAUCGGGAGAUUGGAGAAUGUGGAAAAUGGGAUGGAGGGGUUCGGCGAAAGGUAUGGAGGGGGUUGGGGUGCUGGCCUGCUGGGUUGGGUUGGGUUGGGUUGGGUACGAUAGGCCAGCACCCCAACCCCCUGGGUUGGUUUGGGUUGGUUUGGGUUCGGUUUUUCGGUUUGAUCGGUUAUUUAACAUGUUUAAACCGAACCGAAUAGAAAACCGAAUAAUUUUAAAUCUACUAACCGAACCAAACCGAUCUUUCCGACUAACCGAACCGAUAAACCAAAUUUAAUCGGUUCGGUUCGAUUUUUCGGUUUAGACCGAGAAUUGCUCAGCCCUGCUUAUAAUUUUAAAAUUUUCAAAAAAUACUAAUUUUUAGCUAUUUUUAAGUGAUACCAAGUAAUUUUUAAAUAGGAUAUAAACUUUUAUAAAAAGUAUUGUAAGAAGAAAUUGUACUUUUAAAAAGAAAUUUGAUUAUCCAUUGAUUUUGAAUUAAUAUUUAUAAUUGGAUUGAAAAACUAUAAUUUUUUUAUGAAUUAAAUAUAAAAAUAUUUAAAGAUUUAGUUUUAAAAAUAUAAAAACUGAUCCGUCAAUUAUACUAAAAUUUAGAGAUCAAAAUGUAGUUUAUAAAAUAUAAACUUCUCAGCUAUAUAGAUAAGAUUUAAGUGUUCCUGAGGGUAUUUUGGAUAUUUGAAAUAUUUAUUAUUUGUUUGAUCUAUUGAUUAACGAAAUUAUAGAUAAAAAAACUUUCAAUUUAGACAAAUUGAUUAUAUAGAAAUUUAAUUGUUUGAUUUAGAAAUAAAGGGACCGAUAUAUUAAUUAUAUUAAAAUUCAAGAAUUAAAGUAUAAUUUAUCAUAUAAAUAAGUAUAUAUGAAAUCACACUGAUAUAAUAUAAUUUCUCUUGCAGAAUGUGGCGGACUAGCCAAAUUAUAGGAUUUGUUUGUCAGCUUUUGUGGUAAUAGCUUCACUUAAUAAGUAGGAUUUGAUAUUAUAUUAGAAGUCUAAUGUAACGACCCCAAAAUGGACCGUCACCGGCGCUAGGAUUCAGGUCGGCUUAAGGCCGCCAGAACCCAUAGCAAGCCUGCUAUACUCUCUGUGUACCUGUAAAUCUCAUACAUGAUCAUACAUUUUCUGUGAAAAUAAAAACUCUUUUCUGAACCAAGGCUUAACCUGUGCAUGCAUUAUCUCUGUACUCUGUACUCUGUACUCUGUACUCUGUACUCCUGACUAGAACUUGCUCUAGAUGGGUUAUCUCAUACCUGUUAAGCCUGGUUUUUCACAUACUCUGUAAAGCAUAUACAUACUAGAUCAUGUACAUAACAAAAGAUUACAACACAAACCACUAAGUCAAGCACAACUGUAACUGAUUACACAACUAGUACAUCUCUUUAAUAUUACAUGUCCACUCUAAGCUAUUACAUAUCUCUUUUCUCUUUUUGUACUCUUCUGGAUUCCCCCUCUGUACACUGUACACUGAACCUGCAAGACCGGGGUUAAGGGAGUGGGAUGAGCUCUAUAGCCCAGUGAGUAGAACAGUAAAACAUAUCGUUUAACACAUGAUCUUAUGAAAUGCAUCAUAACACAGACAAUCCACAUCAAGGAUAAACCUAUCACCACAUAGUCUCAAUAACACUGUCGUGCCAGGGCGUAGAAUCGAGCACCUGGUCUUCCUGUCAUAUAUGUAUACGUGUAUAUAACACCUGUACUUACCAUUGCCAGGGCGUAGUCAAAGGCUCCUGGUCUUUACUAUACCUGCCAGGGCGUAGUCAAAGGCUCCUGGUCUUAGCUAUACCUAUCAGGGCGUAGUCAAAGGCUCCUGGUCUUAACUCAGAGACUAUUGGAUCAUUCAACAUUCACCCACAUCAACAAUUAACUAUGCAAUGCAACAUAUUCAUGGAUUCUAAUGCAAUCAACCUAUUGCAUAAUCAUGAUGCAUGAGAUAUGCUAAAAAUAUUCCAUUGCUCAAUUAAAAGAAUUAAGUUUAGUUCCACUCACAUCUGGCUAUCUAGACUGACUGACUCUGCAGGCUUUGUAAACUCUGGAGCAGUACUCACUGCUGCUCUCUCUGGUUCCUCUGGUCUGUGCCUACACAGAUGGACUCAAAUGAGGGACCAAACUAGCUUAAGAAUAACUCUAUUAAACUCCCCAAGAAUCCCCUUAAACUCACUCAAACAUUCAUACAAAACAUGCAAAGGAAAGCUGGACAGAACACUUUCGGCGGCAGGUUCGGCGGCCGAAAGUCCUCUCCAGAGACGAAACUCAAGCACCUUCGGGGGCUAGUUUCGGGGGCUGAAAGGCACUCCAGAGACCAAAGUCUCUAACCUUCGGCGGCCGAACUCCCCUCCAGAGCCGAAAGUCCAAAAGCUCGGGGGCAAGCUUGGGCAGCCGAAGUCACCUCCUCAGGGGUUCGACGGCCGAAUGUUCCUUCGGCUGCCGAACCUGAGUUCAUCAGCAGGGCAGAAACUUGCCCUGCCUCUCGCCAAAUGCACAAAACUCCUCUAAACUCAAACACCUCACUUCCUCAACUUGCAUACACCUAAGUAUAUGCUCAAAGAGGUCAAAAACUACCUAAAAACCCCAACAACACAAAACACAUAACACAUAAACAAGCUUUUCUCACAAAAUCAUUAAAAACUCUCUUUUUAACCUAUUCAUGCAACUCUCUCCAUAAACCCCUUAAAACCAUUAUAAAUCAUAAAAACAAGUUCUGGAUCAUCACUUACCUUUUGAAAUUAAGUAGAUGAAUGAUCCUAACGUGGAGUUUUGAAGCAACUCUCCUUCAAACUCUCCAAAAUUCACAACUUUGUGUUUUUAGCUCAAAACCUUCAAAAUAACAUAAAACUCAAUCAAAUCUUUGCAAGAUUGGAUGAAAACAUGAAAGAAUGCUAAAAAAGGACAGAGUCUCACCUCAGCAAGUGAAAGAAACGGCGAAGUUUAUCCUUUCAACCGACUGAGGGCCGUUUUUAUAGGUGGCUGGCCAGACCACCUUCGGCGGCCACACGUGAAACCGAAAGCCAUGCAUGUUCGGCGGCCGAACCUCACCUUCGGCAGCCGAACCUGGCUUUUCUGCCUUAGUUCAUUUCUCUUAAAAACUCAUUGCAUUUUCACUUAAACCAUUAAAACAUACUAUAUUAUUUUAGAAAAACAUAAAUCUUACCCUUCUAGAGCAUUCCGACAUCCCGGAUUCCACCGGACGACAGGAAUUCCGAUGCCGGACUCUAACCGGGUAUUACAUUCUCCUCCCCUUAAGAACAUUCGUCCUCGGAUGUUCCUAAAACAAACAAUAAACACAUAAAAAGGAGGUAACUAACCUUAAAACAGAUAUGGAUACUGCUGAGCAUAAACUCCCGCGUCUCCCAGGUGCACUCUUCCAGAUUAUGGUGGUUCCACAGGACUUUCACCAUCGGAAUCUCCUUAUUCCUUAGCUGCCUGAUCUGUGUGUCCAGAAUCCGUACUGGCUGCUCUAUAUAAGUGAGAUCCCCUAGAAUCUCUACAUCAGGCUCACUAAUAACCUGACCCGAAUCUGAUACAAAUUUCCGUAGCAUAGAAACAUGAAAUACCGGGUGAAUCCUCUCCAUAGACAUGGGUAAAUCUAGCUUAUAUGAUACAUUUCCAAUCCUCUAUAAAAUCUCAAUACAUUGGAGCUAACUUACCCUUCUUCCCAAAAUGAACCACUCCUUUCAUUGGAGACACCUUCAGCAAUACCCAAUCACCCUCCUGGAACUCUAACAGUUUCCUAUGAAUGUCUGUAUAGCUUUUCUGUCUGCUCUGAGCAGUUCUGAUCCUUUCUCUAAUCACUGGCACUGUUCUACUAGUAAUCUCUACUAACUCUGGCCCUGCAAGAGUCUUCUCUCCUACCUCUUCCCAGCAAAUAGGUGAUCUGCAUUUCCUCCCAUAUAAUGCUUCAUAAGGAGCCAUCCCGAUGCUAGCAUGAUGACUGUUAUUGUAGGCAAACUCCACCAAAGGAAGAUGCUGUCUCCAAGAACCGCCAAAGUCUAACACACACAUUCGGAGCAUAUCCUCUAUGGUCUGGAUGGUCCUCUCUGACUGUCCAUCAGUCUGUGGGUGGAAAGCAGUGCUAAAAUCCAAUCUUGUGCCCAUUGCACUCUGCAGACUUCGCCAAAAUCUGGAGGUGAACUGAGGUCCUCUGUCUGAAACUAUAGACACUGGGACUCCAUGUAAUCUCACUAUCUCAUCCAGAUAAACCUGUGCCAACUUAUCCACAGAAUAGUUACUCCUAACUGGAAUGAAAUGAGCAGAUUUCGUGAGUCUAUCCACAAUCACCCAUAUAGAGUCUAUCCUGUUGGACGUUACCGGUAAGCCCACUACAAAAUCCAUAGCUAUGUUCUCCCAUUUCCAUUCUGGAAUCGGCAGUGGGUUAAGCAUUCCAGCCGACUUCUGAUGUUCUAAUUUCACCCUCUGACAAACCUCACAGGCUGUCACGAACUGCGCCACUUCUUUUUUCAUGGCUGGCCACCAAUACACUUUCUUUAGAUCUUGAUACAUUUUGGUGGCACCUGGGUGAACACUAUAUCUCGCACUAUGAGCUUCCCUCAUAAUGUCUUCUUUCAAACUGCUAACAUCUGGUACACAAAGUCGACUCCCAUAGCGAAGGAUCCCUUGGCUGUCAAACCUGAACUCUGCAUUGUUGCCUGACUGAACAGUCCUGGCAAUUUUCAUCAACUCAGGGUCCUCAUGCUGUCUCUGAGCUAUUUGCUCCAGAAACACUGGUGUCACUCUCAUCUGUGCUAUCAACGCACCUGUACCAGACAAUUCUAGUUGUAACCCUUCUUCAAUGAGCUUAUAAAGCUCCAUCACUACUGGUCUCCGCUCUGCUACUAUAUGGGAUAAACUGCCUAGUGACUUCCGGCUUAGGGCGUCUGCCACAACAUUCGCCUUACCCGGAUGAUACUGGAUCUUACAAUCAUAAUCACUGAGCAAUUCUACCCAUCUUCUCUGCCUCAAAUUCAGCUCUCUCUGACUCAAAAUGUACUGUAGACUCUUGUGAUUAGUAAAGAUCUCGCAUUUAACCCCAUAGAGGUAAUGCCUCCACAUCUUGAGUGCAAAGAUAACUGCUGCCAUCUCUAGGUCAUGGGUGGGGUAAUUCAACUCGUGCUUCUUCAACUGUCUAGAAGCAUAAGCAAUCACCCUAUCACUCUGCAUCAAAACACAACCCAAUCCCACUCGCGAUGCAUCACAGAACACUGUGAAAUCCUCGUUACUAACAGGCAGAGCUAGCACUGGUGCUGUUGUCAAUCUCCUCUUGAGCUCUUCAAAGCUCUCUUCACACUGGUUUGACCAAAUAAAAUUCUGGUUCUUCUGAGUUAGUUUGGUCAUAGGAGCCGCUAUCUUCGAGAAGUCCUGUAUGAACCUCCUGUAGUAACCUGCCAGUCCCAGAAAGCUUUUAAUCUCAGUCACUGUAGUGGGUCUGGACCAGUUGGCUACAGCCUCAAUCUUCUUGGGGUCUACCUCAAUCCCUUCUGCUGAUACUACAUGUCCCAAGAAGGAAAUGCUCCUCAACCAAAACUCACACUUAGAGAACUUGGCAUAUAAACCAUGCUCUCUCAGUGUCUGCAGAACUAUCCUCAGAUGCUGGGCAUGCUCCUCUGCAUCUCUGGAAUACACUAAGAUGUCAUCGAUAAAGACAAUAACAAAGUGAUCCAGAUACUCGCUGAAAACUCUGUUCAUGAGAUCCAUAAAUGCUGCAGGGGCAUUAGUUAACCCGAACGGCAUCACUAAGAACUCAGAAUGCCCAUAUCUGGUCCUAAAAGCUGUCUUAGGCACAUCUGCCUCUCUGACUCUUAACUGAUGAUACCCGAAUCUUAGAUCUAUUUUAGAAAAAUAACCUGCUCCAGCUAACUGGUCGAAUAGAUCAUCAAUCCUAAGUAAAGGGUACCUAUUCUUGGUAGUGACCUUGUUCAACUGUCUGUAGUCGAUACAAAGUCUGAGGGAUCCAUCCUUCUUUCUGACAAAGAGCACUGGAGCACCCCAAGGUGAGGUACUAGGGCGGAUGAAACCCUUAUCUACCAAAUCCUGCAACUGUUCUUUCAACUCUUUUAACUCUGCUGGUGCCAUCCUGUAGGGAGGAAUAGAGAUAGGUCUGGUACCAGGCAACAACUCAAUUUCAAACUCUAUCUCCCUAUCAGGUGGUAGUCCUGUCAAGUUAUAUGGGAACACAUCUGGAAACUCUCGGACUACUGGUAUCGAGGCUGGUUCCCUAACCUAAUUGUCUAGCUCCCUCACAUGAGCUAGAAACCCCUGACAACCCCUCCUAAGCAAACGACGAGCCUGAAGGGCUGAAAUCAGACCUCUGGGUGUACCUCUCCUAUCUCCUCUGAAGACACACUCUGACCCAUCCUGGUCUCUGAGACUAACUAUCUUGUCUCUACAGUCCAAGGUAGCACCAUAUGUAGAUAGCCAAUCCAUCCCUAGAAUGACGUCAAAAUCUGUCAAAUCUAGAACCACAAGGUCAGUUGGAAGGCGUCUACCCUCUAUGAACACUGGACUGAAACGACAGACUGACACUGCCACUGAUGGGUCACACUUGGGUCCACUGACCCAGAGAGGAUACUCUAACUCAGAACUGAUCAAACCCAAUCUCUCUAUGGCUCUCGAAGCAAUAAAGGAAUGAGAAGCACCGGGGUCCAUCAAAACAUACACAUCUGAACACCCAAUGAUGAGAUUACCUGACACCACAGUGUUCAACGUGUUAACCUCCUCCCGAGUCACAGUGAAAAUCCGUGCUGGGGCUACCGGAUUUCCACCUCGGGAACCUACUGCUGAAGUAGAGGCUGCCCCUCUCCCUCUACCUCUGCCACUACUCUAAGGCAUGGCUGGAGCUGCUAGCUGCCCUAUUGGCUGUACAACACUGCCUGAACUCAUCUGCUGGGAUGGUGCCACAAAAGUCACCUGAAGACAAUCCCGAGCAAAAUGCCCUUCCUGUCCACAUCUAAAACAAGCUGAAGAUCCCAAUUGACAAGCUCCCCUGUGGGGUCUCCCACAUCUUCUGCACACUAGACUAGCUGUGCCAGAGCUCGAACCACUACCCAUUCCCAGACUAGACUUGGCUCUACUCCAGAACUUGUUCUUUAAUCCUUUCGCUCUAUCCCAUCUCUUGUUGCCUGAAGUUCCUGAACUGGGGGCCUUAGAACCCGAAGCCUGUGCCUUUGACUGUCUCUGAAUAUUGGCACUUGCUUCCAUUUUCCUGGCUGCGUCCACUAUAGAGUGGAAACUCUCCUUUUCUGCUGGAAGGAUCAAGGAAGAAUACCUGGGAUGAAGUCUCAUGGUAUAUCUCCUUGCUUUCUUCUGAUCAGUAUCAUAGGCCUGACCCACGUACUGAAGCAAAUCCAGGAACUUAUCUGUAAACUCGUCAACGCUCAUUUCAUCUGUUUGUCUCAGCUGUUCAAACUCUAUUACCUUCAUCUCCCUAGAGCUAUCAGGAAAAGCCCACCCUGCAAACUCAUUGGCGAACUCUCCCCACGACAUACUGUUCAUCCUGGGCUCCACAUAAUUCUUGAACCAUUCCCGAGCUUUCUUACACUUUAGUGUAAACCCCGCCAUCUCAAUGGCUCUGCUAUCAUCUGCACCCAACUCAUCAAUGAUCAUCUUCACAGUUCUCAGGUAUUCAAAUGGAUCAUCUCCUGUAUUGAACUUAGGAGCAUCCAAUUUCAGGUACUCAGUCAUUUUCACCUUACUUUCAGAUGCACUAGGUGGAGGUGUUUGGGCAACAGGGGCUACUGGUUCUGUUUGUGGUGGUGGGGGUACUGGUUCAUUUAGUUCUGGGUGUGCUGCACUUGGAUGGGUAGGGGAGGAUGGAUACAUGGAGUAUGGUGGGUAAUAGUGAGGAUAUGGCAUAUAUGUAGGAUAUGGGACAAAACGAGAGUACUCCGACAUACCCUCCAUCGGAUACUCUGGAUCCUAGGAAAAGGCUGGAUAGCCAAAACCUGAGGCCUGAGUGCCUCCCUGGGACUCUCCCAUACCUUCAUCCAUAGACGGGUCAGUCUCCAUGGCCUCCCUCACCUCCUCUGAUCUUCCUCCUCUAACUGUCCCUCUUUUGCUCUCGUCUACAGACCUUCUAGGGUCUAUUGACGUACCUUCCCUGCUAGAUCUUUAUGACCUUGCCCUCGGCAAUGUAGGAGGACAAGCAGCUAUUCUCUCACUAUCUGAUGGGACUUCAGUCAAUCGAGCUGAUCGACGAGUUCCUCGCAUUUUAACUCUGGAAAAUAACACAUAACAUAGCACAUCAGCAUAUAAUCAACUCAUAUAACUCAAUAAUGCACAUGCAUAUCAUGGCAUUGCAGGCAGUUCAUAACAUCAAAUAGACAGGACUCAAUAUCCUAUCCUAGUGGACAUGAUUCCCUAUUGUGCUUGACCAACUGUAACCUCUAUGAGCCCGACACUCUCUCUAUAGGUCCGAUCACAGGAACCUAGGGCUCUGAUACCAAUCUAUAACGACCCCAAAAUGGACCGUCACCGGCGCUAGGAUUCAGGUCGGCUUAAGGCCGCCAGAACCCGUAGCAAGCCUGCUAUACUCUCUGUGUACCUGUAAAUCUCAUACAUGAUCAUACAUUUUCUGUGAAAAUAAAAACUCUUUUCUGAACUAAGGCUUAACCUGUGCAUGCACUAUCUCUGUACUCUGUACUCUGUACCCCUGACUAGAGCUUGCUCUAGAUGGGUUAUCUCAUACCUGUUAAGCCUGGUUUUUCACAUACUCUGUAAAGCAUAUACAUACUAGAUCAUGUACAUAACAAAAGAUUACAACACAAACCACUACGUCAAGCACAACUGUAACUGAUUACACAACUAGUGCAUCUCUUUAAUAUUACAUGUCCACUCUAAGCUAUUACAUAUCUCUUUUCUCUUUUUGUACUCUUCUGGAUUCCCCCUCUGUACACUGUACACUGAACCUGCAAGACCGGGGUUAAGGGAGUGGGAUGAGCUCUAUAGCCCAGUGAGUAGAACAGUAAAACAUAUCGUUUAACACAUGAUCUUAUGAAAUGCAUCAUAACACAGACAAUCCACAUCAAGGGUAAACCUGUCACCACAUAGUCUCAAUAACACUGCCGUGCCAGGGCGUAGAAUCGAGCACCUGGUCUUCCUGUCAUAUAUGUAUACGUGUAUAUAACACCUGUACUUACCAUUGCCAGGGCAUAGUCAAAGGCUCCUGGUCUUUACUAUACCUGCCAGGGCGUAGUCAAAGGCUCCUAGUCUUAGCUAUACUUGCUAGGGCAUAGUUAAAGGCUCCUGGUCUUAACUCAAAGACUAUUGGAUCAUUCAGCAUUCACCCACAUCAACAAUUAACUAUGCAAUGCAACAUAUUCGUGGAUUCUAAUGCAAUCAACCUAUUGCAUAAUCAUGAUGCAUGAGAUAUGCUAAAAACAUUCCAUUGCUCAAUUAAAAGAAUUAAGUUUAGUUCCACUCACAUCUGGCUAUCUGGACUGACUGACUCUGCAGGCUCUGUAAACUCUGGAGCAGUACUCACUGCUGCUCUCUCUGGUUCCUCUGGUCUGUGCCUACACAUAUGGACUCAAAUGAGGGACCAAACUAGCUUAAGAAUAACUCUAUUAAACUCCCCAAGAAUCCCCUUAAACUCACUCAAACAUUCAUGCAAAACAUGCAAAGGAAAGCUGGACAGAACACUUUCGGCGGCAGGUUCGGCGGCCGAAAGUCCUCUCCAGAGACGAAACUCAAGCACCUUCGGCGGCCGAAUCCCAACUUUCGGCAGCCGAACCCUUUCGGGGGCUAGUUUUGGGGGCUGAAAGGCACUCUAGAGACGAAAGUCUCUAACCUUCGGCGGCCGAACUCCCCUCCAGAGCAGAAAGUCCAAAAGCUCGGGGGCAAGCUUGGGCAGCCGAAGUCACCUCCUCAGGGGUUCGGCGGCCGAAUGUUCCUUCGGCUGCCGAACCUGAGUUCAUCAGCAGGGCAGAAACUUGCCCUGCCUCUCGCCAAAUGCACAAAACUCCUUUAAACUCAAACACCUCACUUCCUCAACUUGCAUACACCUAAGUAUAUGCUCAAAGGGGUCAAAAACUACCUAAAAACCCCAACAACACAAAACACAUAACACAUAAACAAGCUUUUCUCACAAAAUCAUUAAAAACUCUCUUUUUAACCUAUUCAUGCAACUCCCUCCAUAAACCCCUUAAAACCAUUAUAAAUCAUAAAAACAAGUUCAGGAUCGUCACUUACCUUUUGAAAUUAAGUAGAUGAAUGAUCCUAACGUGGAGUUUUGAAGCAACUCUCCUUCAAACUCUGCAAAAUUCACAACUUUGUGUUUUUAGCUCAAAACCUUCAAAAUAACAUAAAACUCAAUCAAAUCUUUGCAAGAUUGGAUGAAAACAUGAAAGAAUGCUAAAAAAGGACAGAGUCUCACCUCAGCAAGUGAAAGAAACGGUGAAGUUUAUCCUUUCAACCGACUGAGGGCCAUUUUUAUAGGUGGCUGGCCAGACCACCUUCAGCGGCCACAUGUGAAACUGAAAGCCAUGCAUGUUCGGCGGCUGAACCUCACCUUCGGCGGCCGAACCUCACCUUCGGCGGCCGAACUUGGCUUUUCUGCCUUGGUUCAUUUCUCUUAAAAACUCAUUGCAUUUUCACUUAAACCAUUAAAACAUACUAUAUUAUGUUUUUAGAAAAACAUAAAUCUUACCCUUCUAGAGCAUUCCGACAUCCCGGAUUCCACCGGACGAUAGGAAUUCUGAUGCCGGACUCUAGCCGGGUAUUACAUCUAAGUUCAUUUUAGGUGCUAAAGUUAGAGGGAUUAAUAAUGUUUAGAGAGAUUCCAAACCUUGUAAGCCGAAGAUGGGAUCCAUAUUUAUGUUAGAUAAAGUCACUCAAAGCACGCUAGGAGCUAUCACCACAGAACAGAUUCACAUGACAAGAAUUUAAUAAAUGAGCAAUGCGGUUCUACUCGAGAAAAGGAAUAUUCGAAUAUCUUAAACACCCAAUUCAUCAUCAAGACUUUCCCUUCUCUGGAUGGGUCAAGUCUUAGUAUAAAGUUACCAUUAUCAGGCAUAGUUCAUUGUAUCUCCAUUACGUUUGUAAUCGCGGGAUCACCAACCCAUCAAUGAGCAAUAUCCCUUAUCAAGCAGCCGGCUACAUUAUUGUUGGAUUAUUAGGAAAUAUGAUAUUUAUCUCCAUCUUCUUAUAGUAUAAAAGGAGAACGAUCACAGAGGCAAAAGUACACAAUUCUCUUACACAACUACUCUCAUUCUCUAGGCAAUUCGCCAUAUUCUCUAGUUUAUUAACUUGAGCGUUGGAAUGGCUACCGUGCGCACCCACCACCUCACGUUCUCUUUCUUGCAGGUCCAGUCAAUCACAACAUAGCUCUAUUUUUCAGCCGCAUCAUUUAGUUUCCUUGCCAGAAAAAUCCAUUGAAUCCCUUCUAUUCAUUUGGAUUAAAAUCAAUCUCUUGUUCCUUUUUUAUGAAAAAGAAAUCUCUCUUCUCUAUCUCUUGAAAUGGUCAAGAUCGUACAUGUCAUUGCAGCAUGACUUGAUAAGGGUAAAGAAAAAAUAAGAGCGUAGCAAAAGAUGUCCUGUCAGUUGAACAAGAGCCAUGAGCCAAGCAGGAGGUAAGGUUUAGUCAUAUAGAUAGAUUAGAUUCUUUCAAAACGACCCGCUAGUCGUCAAGAUCCUUCUAAAUAGAUAUGAAGGCAAGUAUUGAUGGAUGCAGGUAGUUCUAUUGAUCUUUUCAUCCUGAAUGUUUUUAACAAGUUAGACUUGGAUAAUAAUAGCCUUGUCAAAGUUUCCUAUCCGUUAGUAGAAUUAGGAGAUAAGACCGUGGCAGUAUUGGGCACCAUCAACCUCCCCCUAAUUCUGGAUGACGAAAAAUAUAGGUGAGAAUUGUAUGUAAAGUUUGCAGUGAUAGAUAUCUCAUUUGUGUACUAUGUGAUACUCAACUGUCCAGUCCUAAACUCCCACGGUAUUGUUAUUAACCUGGGUGCUAUGUGUCUUAAGCUACUAGUUCCAAGGGGAAUAGCUGUGGUCCAAGGUAAUCUGAGGUCAGCCAAAGAAUGUUAUAGACACCCAGCAAAAAGUCUCAGAAAAGCAAUAAUGUCAUGGACUUGCUAGAGAAAUCAGAAUCUCACAUAAAGUCAAAGCCAGUAGACUCGAUAGAGGAGGUCCAGCUAGGUAAGAAACAAAAGGUAAGGUUCGGUAUUGCGUUAACGGGUAAAACAAAGACUCGUUUAAUAGAGUUGCUAAAGUGUCGAGUGACCACUUUUGCUUAGUCUCCAAAAGAUGUAACAGAGGUGGACUCAGCUCUCAUCACUCAUAAGCUGUCUGUUGACAAAGACGUCAAAGCAGUCCAACAAAAGAAAAGAAGGUUUGCACCAGAGAGAUAGCAAGUGAUCAAAGAAGAAGUUGACAAGUUAUUAAGUGCAGGGUUAAUAAAGGAAGUCCAGUACCCCCACAUGGCUCGUCAAUGUGGUCCUGGUGAAGAAGGCUAAUGGGAAAUGGAGAAUGUGCAUGGAUUUUACUAACCUAAGUAAAGCAUGUCCGAAAGAUCAUUACCCGUAGCCAUCUAUUGACUGGUUAGUAGACUCGAUCUCGGAUCAUGUAAUGGUUUCCUUUCUUAAUGCCAUUUCAGGUUAUCACCAAAUCAUGAUGGACAUCAAGGAUGUAGAGAAGACUGCAUUCAUAAUAUAUGAAUGAGUUUUCUGCUAUAAGGUGAUGCCAUUUGGAUUAAAAAAUGCGGGGCGACUUACCAAAUGCUGGUAUUAGACAUUUUUAAAGACAUGGUGGGGUCAACAGUCAAAGUGUACGUGGAUGAAAUGGUGGUAAACAGCCGAUCUUUGGAAGACCAUUCAGAAGAUAUCCAGAAAGUCUUUGACGUACUAGACAAGAUGUGUAUAAAGCUGCACCCUGAAAAUUGCACUUUCGAGAUAAAAGCAGGGAAGUUUUUAGGUUAUAUAAUCUCAUAAAAAUGCAUAAAAGCAAAGCCUGAGAAGAUCAACGCCAUCUAAAACAUGAAAGCACCCAAAACCAUUAAUGAAGUACAAAAGUUAAAUGGGUGAGUCACUGCCAUGGGUCUGUUCAUAUCGUGCUCGACUAAAAGAUGUCUCCCAUUCUUCAAAGCCUUAAAAGACAAAGGUAAUUUUGUAUGGGGAAAGAAUGCGCAGAGGCAUUUGAAAGUCUGAAAACCUUUUUAUCAUCUCUUCCAUUACUAAGCUUGCCUGUCGAAGGUAAGGUUUUAUUUCUAUACUUGUCUGUGAAAUGGGAAACAAUUUACUCGGUACUCAUUUGUGAGAAUAAUGGAGAACAAAGCCCAGUACAUUAUGCCAGCCAAGUCUUGAAAGGGGCAGAGCUGAACUAUCCUCCUCUUGAAAAGUUAGCAUUUGCAGUCCUAAUAUCAGCCACAAAGCUAUGACCAUAUUUCGAGUCACAGACCAUAAAAGUCAGAAUAGAUUAUUCUCUGUGAAAGGUUCUACACAGGCCGGAGCUGUCACAAGCUAGAGCUAUCAGGGCGGCUAUCCACCUGGGUGGUAAUAUUUUCAGCCUUUGAUAUCAGGCACAUUCCAAGAAAGGCCAUGAAAGCCUAAGCAAUAGCCGAUUUUAUCGCAGAAAUGACUAUGCCUUUAGAGUCUUAGGAAUCCUUUGAAUCAACCAUGGAGGAGUGGAAGGUUUGGGCGGAUGGAGCUUGCAGGAUCGGGGGUUCUAGAGUAGAGAUAUUGUUGCAGUCUCAAACUGAUAUAAAGUUUCGAUAUGCAACAAAACUCAUCUUCAAGGCUACCAACAAAAUAGAUAGAGUACGAUGCUGUAAUAAUGGCUCUCAGAAUCAUCAAGGAAUUAGGCAUAUAGAAAUUUGCUAUUUUUAGUAACUCACAAUUGAUUGUUAAUCAAUGCUAGGGACAAUUUAAAGUUUGAGAGUUAAGUAUUGUCAAAUACGAGGAAAAUAUUCAGUCCCUAAUAGAGAGGAUCAAAGAUGGGCAGGGCAGCUGCAAGCUUCACCAGGUGGCCAAAGGUGACAACGAGGAGACAGAUUUUCUAGCCAAAAUGACAGCAACGGGUGAACAACACCUGACUCAACCGUUUUAGUUCGAGGAACUGCACACUCUAGCAACGGACAUGGAAGAGUCUUUUUCUAUAGAGGAGGGGGUAUCAUGGAUGAUACCUAUAUACAAAUUUUUGAUACAAGAUGACCUUCUAGCCAACGAGUUAUUGGCCAAAAAGAUAAUAAGAAAUUCCUUUAAAUAUGCACUGAUUGAUGGCUAGUUGUACAUGAGAUCCUCAACACAGCCAUGGCUGCAUUGUGUUACAGAGGAGGAAGGUCAAGAAAUCUUAAAGGAUAUUCAUUAAGGUGAUUGUGAGAGCCAUGAAGGAGCUUAUAUAAUCGUCUGAAAAGCAUUUAGACAAGGGUAUUACUGGCCGAUAAUAAUGCAAGAUGCGAAGCAACUUGUCCGGAAGUAUCGAAGAUGUCAGGUACAUGUGAACAUCCCAAGGACCCCGGUAGAGAUGCAAGCAGCAAUUGGAAGCCCUUGGCCUUUCUUUUAGUGGAGGAUAGACAUUCUUGGUCCGUUCUUAAAGGCAACCAGGUCAAGAAAAUUCGUAAUCAUAGCAGUAGAUCAUUUCAGCAAGUGGGCCGAGUGAUCAAGUAUAAUUUAGCCACAUUUUUACUAUUAUUAUUAUUGUUGAAUUAUGCAUUUUUCUAGCUUAAUUUAUAUUUUUAUGAUAUUUUCUGCAGAAAAGUUGAAAAAUAGAAACUUAGUGAAAAAUGACUUAAAAUGCUGAGAAAUUAAUUUAGCCGAAGUGAUUUGGCCAAAUACUUCAAAUAGAGGGCAAAUCACUGCGAGAGCUAGAAAGAGUCUAAAUUAAACAAGAAUAUGUGCAUGAAUAAUUAAAUUUCUCUAUUGAGGAAAACAAUUAACAACCACGGUAGGUAAAGAGAAAUAAGGAAAGAAGGAAGUAACCUUGGUGUAUACACUCUUCACUGCAAUACUUCAAAUUAGGGGUCUAGGGUAAGAGCGUAAGUAGAAAUAAAGGAUCAAGUAGCAAAGAGAGCUUGUUUGACUAAGUUUAUUUGCUUGAGGACAAGCAAAGGGCUAGGUGUGGGGGUAUUUAAUCAAGCCAAAAUUAGUCCCAUUUUUCAUAUUGUUAUUAAUGUUACAUUACACACUUUCUACUUAAUUUUGUGAUCUUUAUCUUAUUUUCCAAAAAAUGGUGUAAAAGGAUGAUUUGAUGAAAAAUGGCCUUAAAACUAUCCAAAGAGAGAAGAAAAGGUCAAGCCUGGUUUGCCCAAGUCAGUUUGCCCAAACCAAGCUGCAGCUGAAAUGGGAGAAGGAUGAAGAACAACACAGACUUGCUGUUUGACCAGAUUGUUUGCCUAAGCAACCUGGGCAAACAGACCCCGCGGAAUAGAAGCAGAGUGACAGACAAUACCAAAACAGACUGUUUAACCAGAUUGUUUGCCCAAACAAUCUGGACAAAUAGAACUUGCAACAGCAGAUAGCAGAAAUGUGGGAGACUUAAAAUUUAAACCUCCAAGAAGUCUAUCCUUACCCAAACACGUGAAGACAACUCAGCAACUCUUCAAGACAGCUCAACACCCUAUCCCACUUAUCAAGGAAGCUAAAUCUCAAGAAGAUUCAAUUGCCUAAAGAAUCCAAACUCCAAAUAGAAAAAAAAAAUCCAUCAAAUCAAGGAAACCUAAGGCAGCAUGUACAACUAUAAAUAAAGGGGCCAAACCAGCAACAAAGGACACAUAACAUCAUCUCCGGAAUUUAGCACCAGUAGCUGCGCACACCAACAGCCGCCCGGCUGACCCUUCCUCUUCUUCUUUUUGCUUUCUUUCUUGAUUUUUGUGUUAGUUUCAGCCAUGAGUGGUUGAACCUCUCUUUCUAGUUGAAGAUUAGGUGAAACUUCAGUUUGUUUAUGGAUUGGGAGAUCUGAACAUAUUAUGUUAUUCUUUUAUUUAUCAAUAUUUAUGCAAUUUCAUGCUUAAUUCCAUUAUUGCUUUGUUGUUUAGAUCAAUAGGGCCCAUUGAUUCUUGAUUGUAAAGUGAUAAUUUGUUAGUUUGAAUAGUUUGAAGUUCGUAAUUGCUUGCAUUAUUCAAACAUAAGUGACUCUUAGUGUAAAAAUAAGGAGAUUGCAUAAUCUAGCAAGAUCACCAUAUGUUUGGAUAGCUAGAAUUAGGUCUCUCUAUUUCUUAAUGCAAUUGAUAGUUGAAUGAAUCUAAAGUCCCAAGGACAUUCCUUGGUAACUUGUUGAUUAGUGAUUAGUUAGAUAACGCUUUCUAGUUAAUCUAUGCUUAAGGAGGGACAUGGUGGUGAGAAGCGUCUUCCACCCCCGCAACUAAUUUAUUGAGUCAGAUAAAAGAACCUAAGUGUCAAUGAUCAAUCUCAACAACUGAAGUGGAUCCAAUUCUUCAACUAGAUUUUUCUCAUUAUUGAAUUCUCUUUACUUUAUUAUUUGCUUUGCGUUAUAAUUUUAAUCUAGUUCAUCAAUCUCAAAACCCCCUUUUUAUUUUAUUGUAUAUUUUUUACUUGGUCAUUGAUAGGAAGAUAGGUAGGUAUCAAUCCCCUGUGGAUUCGAUUCUUUUACCACUAUCUACAGUUGUAAAAUUGUGGAUAACCAAAAAAUUUAUUUUUGACCGGCUUCGACAACCGCACAGUCACUGGCAAAGUCUUUAAGGUCAAUGGCUACUGUUUGAAGCCAUAUUAUGAAGGAUUUGUUGUGCACCUUGUGAAAGAGGUUCUCUUGGAUCCUUAUUCCCCAUCUUGUUGAUCAAAGCAAGACAGUCCAGCCCACGACAAAAAACUAGGGCGCUAUUGGGAGGUAGCCCAGCUGAAGGGAUUUGCCCAAAUCACUGUGCAAAUCAACUUACUGUACCAUAGCCGCGAGUGAUUGGGGCAAGUGAUUUGCCCAAAUCGAUGGGAAAAUCAGCAGAUUUUGACAAUCGCAGAGAAGUCGUGACCAGGGCCAAUUGAGCGAUUACAACAAGGAUGUGAUUUGGCCAAGUGAUUUGCCUAAAUCCCUGACCAAAUCACCACCCCAUAAUUCAGAAACUCAGCAUUUAAUGAUCAGGGCAGUUCAACUUCCCCAUAUCACUUUAAAUAGUUUUUCUUUUUCUUUUCCUUUUUAUUGACACUACUCCUGUUUGCCUCAUCUCCUUCCUUCUUCCUCAAGUCUUCCUUCUGAUGAUUCCUUCCGACAACACCUUCCAACAUGGUCCGAACAAAGAUGGUGGCCACCUCCAACCCAGGCAAAUGGCGGCAGCUAGGUCUGCCGAGACCAAUAUGUGUUCCAACCGACAGCGAUGAGGAACCCAUCACCAACCCUCCUCUCGUCAUUGACAUCACCACUGACACAGGUUCAACAGAAGAAAUGGCGACUCGGACCGCUACGCUGCCCUUCACCCACACUUAUUGUUGACGGACAAGGGCAUCGACAAUGGCACCACCAUCCGAGACACAAACGGUAGAGACAAACACUCAUCUAGCCGCAAUGCUACCAGCAGAAACCCCUUCAGCUAGUCAUGGCCAUAAACGCCUGACGACCAUGACUUCAUCACCGUAAAUGAACAUGAUCGCGGUUGUCAAAGCCGGUCAAAAAUAACCUUUCUGGUUAUCAAUAAUUUACAACUACAGAUAGUGGUGAAAGGAUCGAAUCCACAGAGAAUUGAAAACUUACCUAUCUUCCUUGCCAAGACUAAUAAAAUAAACUGAAACAAAAAUAAACUGAAAAAGAAGAAAACUGAAAACGAGAUAAACUGAAAUGAGAUAAAACAGAAAUGAGAUAAAACUGAAACAAGAUAAAACGGAAAUGAGAUAAAACUGAAAGCAAACAGACUGAAAGUAAAAUGGGGGUUUUGAGAUUGAUUCAGCUAAACUAAUAAUGAAAGCAAUAAAAUAGGCAAAUAAUAAAAAUAAAGAGAAAUCAAUAAUAAAAAAAAGGCUCUAGUUGAAUAAUCGGAUUCACUUCUGUUGUUGGGAUUGAUCAUUGACACUUAGUUUCUUUUGAUUGAUUCAAUAGAUUGGAUAUGGAGAUGGAAAAUGUUUCUCACCACCAUGUCUCUCCUUAUGAUUAAACCAAUUAGGAAAUGUCCUCUAAUUAAUUACUAAUUAACAAAUUGCCAAGG